UCUCUACAGUGCUCUUGGGUCUUGCUGCCGUAGGAGAUCCACCUGGCCCUGUUCCAUGCUGCUCCAAGAUGCAGCUGCAUGGGGCACUCCACACUGCGAAGAAUCUGAAUUGAUUUCCACUGGCCUGUUUGGCUACAGAUUCCUGGUCACAGGGAAGAGAUUUUGACUGUGGAUCUCCUUGAGGCUGACUGGUGCUUUCAGAUCAAUAUGGCUGGAUGAAAUUUCUAGAGAGAAUACUGCCAUAUUCCUGUCUCCUGAGCAACGCCAGUAUCCAGUAUAUUACCACGACAUGACUGCAAACUGGCCUCAAAGAGUAACCAGGAAAGGGCAAAGCAACAAAUGGUCUGGUAGCACUUUAUAGACUAACGAAACAUGUAGAUGGGACCAUGAGCUUUCGUGGGGCUCACGGCGGAGGCAGGCAGCUGAAGGCCCUGAGAGGCACCAUCCCGGAGGUGGAGGGGCGGACCCCCCAGGUGAAGAGUCUGGCUUUCGACUGGAACACCUGGUCAGAUUCCGGUCAGCACCAGGCCAUUGACUGCUUGGGAGCCACGGCCAAUGAAAGUGGUGGGGGUGACACCUGUGGGCAGGGUGGUACACAGAGUCACCUGUCCAGGCCUUCACGAAGGAGCCAGAGGGGAGACAUGCCAGCUGCAUCUAGGAGCGGCUUGAAGGACUCUGCACGGAGCGAGUGAACAUAAGAACAUCAGAAUGGCCACAUUGGGUCAGACCAAAGGUUCCAGCUAGCCCAGUUUCCUGUCCUCCUGCAGUGGCCAAUGCCAGGUGCCCCAGAGUGACUCUUCUAAUCCUGGCCAUCAAUGGACCUAAAGUAGCCAUUCAUCUAGAUACAGGACUACACAGAUGCCUGGUGCAAGUAGUAACCACUGCCAGUGGCCCCCUUGUGAAUUUCACCCUCAGAGGCUUGUCCACAUUUAUCCAGGAGGCCUGUGAUAGCAUAUGGAUUGACCCCGGAUUGCCUCACUCCCAGGUGAGUGCCUGCCACUGGACCAUCCACCCUUUCUCCUGUGUUUGUUGUGUGCACCAUACAGAUCUUGUUAAAUGCUUCCUGUGCCUAAAGAACCUGCAUUACAGAUCCUUUGAUAUGCAGGCCCAUCAUGUAUCUCUUAUUCAUGACACUUAGGAUAGUCAUAUCUCCACUAAGUAUGGCAGAACUGGAAGCCUCAAAAUCCCAUCAUGCUACUUGUAGUUAGCACUUUGGAGUCACUCCGUUUGAGGAAUGAAUUCCCUGAGCUCCGUUUAACUUUGUUUGCUCUUGGCAAGGCACGUUUGAACACUGUUUAUACUCUGGUGUGCAUUUACAAACAAACCCUAAGCUUUUAAACCUUUAAAAGCAGCCACCGGGAUUUGUACCUGGCAGGGAUAGACCCAAGAUGUUGAGUAGGAUUUGGUGUGUUGUCCUGGAAUUUGCAAAGUCUGCAUGGGGAGGGGUUGCCACACUUGAUGAUCAAUGGCAGGUUACCACAGUAGUCGUUAGUUGUGCAGACACUGUCCACAUCUGGUUUAACUCACAAGUGCACCUCGCUUAGGUCUUUGCCUCCCCCCCAGAAAACACUUGAAACUUUGGAUGCCUUGUUUUCUGUGCGGCUAACUUGAGGUAUUGGGGUCCUGAUGUGCUGAGCAGCUGCAGUGCCUGGGGUUUUCAUGAUCAGCACGUUUCUUGCGUUGGGCACUCGUAAUCAGGGGGAUAUGUGGAAAAUCUGGGCCGAUGCAAUUUGGAACAAUUUUCUGUCUGUGUUCGCUGCCUGAACCUCAUGUCGGAGGUCAGGCUAACAUGCAUUUGCAGAGCUGGUGAUGGGAAGACAUUGUUCUAUUGUGAAUCAAAAUCUGUCUGUCACAUUUUCGGCCUGCCCGUUCGAAGUAUUACUUAGCAAGCGAACAGAACAUUCUGUAUGGUGCAUGCGUGACUGUUUCAAUAUUUGAUUACAUUAACACCUACAAAAAUAAUGUGGUUCAAGACAUUUUGGUAAAAUCUAAGUUAACUCUCCAAACUGAGCCUUUCAUAUGGGGUAGCUAAAGCUAUUUGUACGUGUACAAACCGACUGUCUGAAUAGAUGAGCUAUUUUAGUUUCAUGGGGCUGACUAAUAAUAAUAAUGGUGAUGAUCACUUGUAUUGUGGUAUUGCGAAAAGCCCCCAGUCAGAAUGACGUACAUGUGUUUGCACAGCAGAGAGCACAUAAUCCGGCCCCCUCCUAUUACUGCCAGCAUGUUAUAAAGCUGAAAUUACAGUCAUUCAGAAUGGACUUUCUGUUCUUAACACAUAACUAGAAUUUGCAACCAAAACCCAGGAAGCAGGUUCUUUUAUUUCUUAAGCUUCUGAAUGCUGAGAUUGAAGGGUGGAUGUGAUUUCUGGAUAGCAACUCAAAGGGGUUACUACUAACGAAGAGUCAUUUAUUAAAAAGGGAUUGACUGCAGAAACAAAUUGUCAUUUUGUUGGGAAUAGUAUAAAGAGAAAGGCAAAACUUGCCUUCAUAGAAGGAUUUAAAAGACAUAGGAGAUAAAAAUCUGAAACAGACGCACUGAGAUUAUAUUGACUUUCACCAACAUCUUAAUUAUUUCCUUUAGGGACAAAAGCCUGUUUUCAACAAGGAAAUCAGAUAGUUUUCACGAAAUAAAUAGCCAGAAAAGUUCUUACUGGACCACUUUUGGCACACUUUAUGAUUUAUUUGUCUGCUCGUUAAAUAUAUACACAAAAUUACCUUCUAAGGACGAAAGUAUAGUUUGUGCAGAAGUACCGGGCUAUGUUAUAAAGUCAAAUAAGACUGCAGUUAUCAAAGGACAAAGAAAUAUUGAAUGUAGCAAUGGUUUGUGAAAUGAUUCAUUUUUAUUUCAGUUUCCCUGAAGUGUCUUUACUCAAGGCUUGUCAAAUAUUCACUUUUAAAUAAAAUCCUGUCUUUGUUUUUCAUGGAGGUUUUCAGCUUGAAAGUAACCCCCCUAUUCUCAGGAGGUACCUCCCAUUGACUUAUUCACAGUGCCAGAAUUGAACAAGAA